rnacentral:lncRNA from 1 species
CAGAUGGAUUCGCAGCAGAAUUCUACCAGACAUUCAAAGAAGAAUUGGAUGCAGCUAUGAAUGCAAGGCCACACAAGGUGGAUGGAAGAGUUGUGGAACCAAAGAGAGCCGUCUCAAGAGAAGAUUCUCAAAGACCAGGUGCCCACUUAACUGUGAAAAAGAUAUUUGUUGGUGGCAUUAAAGAAGACACUGAAGAACAUCACCUAAGAGAUUAUUUUGAACAGUAUGGAAAAAUUGAAGUGAUUGAAAUCAUGAGUGACCGAGGCAGUGGCAAGAAAAGGGGCUUUGCCUUUGUAACCUUUGACGACCAUGACUCCGUGGAUAAGAUUGUCAUUCAGAAAUACCAUACUGUGAAUGGCCACAACUGUGAAGUUACAAAAGCCCUGUCAAAGCAAGAGAUGGCUAGUGCUUCAUCCAGCCAAAGAGGUCGAAGUGGUUCUGGAAACUUUGGUGGCUUUGGUGGCAGCCAUGGUGGUGGUGGAUAUGGUGGCAAUGGGGAUGGCUAUAAUGGAUUUGGUAAUGAUGGAAGCAAUUUUGGAGGUGGUGGAUGCA